rnacentral:rRNA from 1 species
UUGAACGCUGGCGGAAUGCUUUACACAUGCAAGUCGAGCGGCAGCGCGGGGGAGGGUAACCUUUCCUGGCGGCGAGCGGCGAACGGGUGAGUAAUGUAUCGGAACGUACCUCGUCGUGGGGGAUAACGCAGCGAAAGUUGUGCUAAUACCGCAUACGUCCUGAGGGAGAAAGCGGGGGACCCUGGGGUAACUUGGGGCCUCGCGCGAUGAGAGCGGCCGAUAUCUGAUUAGCUAGUUGGUGGGGUAAAGGCUCACCAAGGCGACGAUCAGUAGCUGGUCUGAGAGGACGACCAGCCACACUGGGACUGAGACACGGCCCAGACUCCUACGGGAGGCAGCAGUGGGGAAUUUUGGACAAUGGGGGCAACCCUGAUCCAGCCAUUCCGCGUGAGUGAAGAAGGCCUUCGGGUUGUAAAGCUCUUUCAGUCGGGACGAGACGAAGACGGUACCGACAGAAGAAGCAUCGGCUAACUACGU